rnacentral:lncRNA from 1 species
GCCAGUGAUCUCCAGUGAGGACCGCUUUGCCCUUGGCAUAAGGAACUUGGAGACUGCCACCUGGGGCUCUGCACCAGCAGUGCUUGCAGCCUUCCCUGAUGGGCAGGAGGUGAGUUCCCAGAGAGCAGGGCUCUACCAGUGUGCUGAUUAGGCAGAAGCCCUGAGAGGGCGCAUUCCUUCCUUACCAGAGCUUGGAACAGAUUCAUGGC